rnacentral:rRNA from 1 species
GACGAACGCUGGCGGCGUGCUUAACACAUGCAAGUCAAGGGGGCUCGCAAGAGCAACCGGCGAACGGGUGCGUAACACGUGAACAACCUGCCCUUGUGUGGGGGAUAGCCGGGCUAACGCCCGGGUAAUACCGCAUACGGUCUGCUGAGGGAGUCCUUGGCAGAGGAAAGCCUUCGGGCGCACGAGGAGGGGUUCGCGGCCUAUCAGCUAGUUGGUGCGGUCAUGGCGCACCAAGGCGACGACGGGUAGCUGGUCUGAGAGGAUGGCCAGCCACAUUGGGACUGAGAGACGGCCCAGACUCCUACGGGAGGCAGCAGGUGGGGAAUAUUGGACAAGUGGGCGAAAGCCUGA